UUGUAAUUUGCAGAGGGUGCUUUGGUGUCGGCCGUGGUCUAAGUUCCUUGGAACAGGACGUCACAGAGGGUGAGAAUCCCGUACGUGGCCGCCGGUCUUCACCGUGUAAAGCCCCUUCGACGAGUCGAGUUGUUUGGGAAUGCAGCUCUAAAUGGGAGAUACAUUUCUUCUAAAGCUAAAUAUUGGCCAGAGACCGAUAGCGCACAAGUAGAGUGAUCGAAAGAUGAAAAGCACUUUGGAAAGAGAGUCAAAAAGCACGUGAAAUUGUUGAAAGGGAAGCGCUUGCAGCCAGACGUGCCCGCAGUUGCUCACCUGGGCUCUCGCCCGGGGCAUUCUUCUGCGGGCAGGCCAGCAUCAGUUCGGGCGGUUGGAUAAAGGCCUCUAUCACGUAUCUUCCUUCGGGAUGACCUUAUAGGGGAGGCGCAACACGACCAGCCUGAACUGAGGACCGCGCAUCAGCUAGGAUGCUGGCGUAAUGGCUGUAAGCGGCCCGUCUUGAAACACGGACCAAGGAGUCUAACAUCUAUGCGAGUGUUUGGGUGUAAAGCCCGGGCGCGCAAUGAAAGUGAACGGAGGUGGGAACCCCUCGGGGUGCACCAUCGACCGAUCCUGAAGUCUUCGGAUGGAUUUGAGUAAGAGCAUAGCUGUUGGGACCCGAAAGAUGGUGAACUAUGCCUGAAUAGGGUGAAGCCAGGGGAAACCCUGG
rnacentral:rRNA from 1 species